rnacentral:piRNA from 1 species
AUUCGUGGGUNCCGAUGAUAGCUGAG